UUGUUUGUGUAACUUGCAUUACACAAACAAAACAUUUACUUUAUGAAUGCCUACAUACUUGGCAUAGGAGGAUGGAUUUCCAACAAUUACCAUUUCAUUGAUUUUAAUAAAAAGGUCUUUAAUCCCAUCCCACUGGUCUGAGAAGUGGAACCUUAAUA